AUGAACGCUGGCGGCGUGCCUAAUCCAUGCAAGUCGAGCGAACAGACGAGGAGCUUGCUCCUCUGACGUUAGCGGCGGACGGGUGAGUAACACGUGGAUAACCUACCUAUAAGACUGGGAUAACUUCGGGAAACCGGAGCUAAUACCGGAUAAUAUAUUGAACCGCAUGUUUCAAUAGUGAAAGUCGGUUUUGCUGUCACUUAUAGAUGGAUCCGCGCCGCAUUAGCUAGUUGGUAAGGUAACGGCUUACCAAGGCAACGAUGCGUAGCCGACCUGAGAGGGUGAUCGGCCACACUGGAACUGAGACACGGUCCAGACUCCUACGGGAGGCAGCAGUAGGGAAUCUUCCGCAAUGGGCGAAAGCUUGACGGAGUAACGCCGCGUGAGUGAUGAAGGUCUUCGGAUCGUAAAACUCUGUUAUUAGGGAAGAACAAAUGUGUAAGUAACUAUGCACGUCUUGACGGUACCUAAUCAGAAAGCCACGGCUAACUACGUG
rnacentral:rRNA from 1 species